AUGACCAUCCCUACCUUUUCCA
rnacentral:misc_RNA from 1 species